GGCGCACCUUGUUGUCGGUCCUGAUGGUGACUUUAAGGAGGGGGAGGACCCUUUCUACCUCCAGGUUCCACUCGGCCACAUCCAGCGCCGAGCUCAGGAUCUCGCCGGGUUUGCUUGGCGUCGCCUCCUGAAGAACGCAGGGUCAGCGCCUCCAAGUCCACCAGGUUCUCCUCAUCGUCCUCGUCCUCCUCCUGAAAAGACGCAGACAUCAACACCGAGAGGCUCGCCCCGGCGAGGAGGAUGAAGAGGAGGACGUACGGCGACGCGGUCCACAUUAUCGAGCAGCAAACACGUGACGAAAUGAUUCAUCCAUUCAUCCUUUGCUUCAUGAUAAUCGACUUAAUGAAUGAUGGACGAGCACUUUUGAAAGGAGAAUCCCCGCCUCCUGAGUGCGUGUUCCGCCAGCAUGUUCAAGACGAAGCACACAUGCUCGCCCGAACCGGACUUCAGCUUGGACGGUGGGAAGUCCACCCUCACACCCUAGACGCACACAAAACGGACACAGUGAGGAAGACGUGGGCUCUCGGGCAGCCCGUCCGAUAUCCAAGCGGAAAACAUUUACGAGCGCCCUGAGCUCGGCCAGGAUGUUGGCUACGGUCGCGGCGGGCUCGUCAUCCUCCCGAGGUUUGGUGAAGCUUCUGCCCGCGCUGUUGAUGAGCCAGGCGGCCAUGACGGUGAACACGUAAAACUGCUCGCCCGGGUUGGCCGCCAGGUAAGGGUUGGACACAAAGUAAUGCCUGCAACAUAGUAUACGACGUUAAGGGAACCUUUGAGCUCCAGCCAGCCAACUAUAACUCAGACCAGCUACUUGUUUGAUUAAGGUCCUGGUCGCAGUUUAAGAUUUUCAGCUUCUCCGCGAGCGCCUCCAUGAUCACGAAGUUUUGAUGAGGAGCUCCCGGGACGCGUUCGUCCUCCUCCCAUCCACGGCGACUGUCCUCCGCCAUCUCGAGUAUUUAUCUGUGUUGUUAGCAUAAACGAAGGCUAAGCCACCCAGGUUGUUUGCUGCCCGUUGCCUGACAACGAGCGGUCCAAGCUAAUGUUAGCCGUGAGUGGUAUUUAUUUCUCACGUAAACGGUCAAAAGUGAUCGCAUGACAACACUAGCCGCGAAUUAGCUGAGUUUCUCCAGGGAAACCCAUACAUCUACAUAAAAAAAAAAAAGGAAAACAAAGAAAAGAGAAACCGGUAAACAACGUUAGUGUUCUCCUUUUCUUCCACGCAGUCUCCUUCGCGUACUACUAAAUAUGGUCGGCCAUAGCGUUUACACGUUCUACCGCCACCUACUGGUAUGGAGUGUGAAAGUUAAAAUAAUACAUUAAAAACAAAGACGCGACUGCACAAAAACAGUUGUGGACCUGUGAACAGUGAUGCGUCAUGACAAUUAUUUAUGUUGUUUGUAAUAUUUGAGAGACACUUUGUGAGAAUAUUGUUUAUUAUCCAAAUAGUUCUCAUGGAGCGUAACAAAAAAAAAUAAAGAACAUGUACAGCCAGCAUCAGAAAAGAUGAAGAGAAUCAUUGCACAAAGACAUCAAAAUACAUGUACAGCAAAGAAGGCACAAGAAGGCGUGUGUGUGUGUGUGUCUCUCUCUCUUUGGAUGGCCCGCUGACGUGUGGCAGAGUCUCUGGACUUUUAGGAAAGCUUGCAACCACAGCGACGCUCUCUCCAAAAGCAGAUUUUAACCAACAUUUUGGUCACAGUAGUUUGGAUAGGCAGUUCAUUUGAAGAUAAAGAUUCAGAACAAGGAGGAAUGAAAAUGUUGACAAGUUAGCACAUCAGAAAGUGUGUGCUGCCACUUGUUGAAAAGGCGUUUGGGUUCUUUGUGGACCUACAAAGUUUGAGAAGUUCUGCUUUAAAAUGACAACAGCUGCUAGGUAACACCACUAGCAUGUCACCAUGGAGCAGAAAGUGCUUUAUUGACAUUGCCACAGCAAGUUCAAAUGGAUGCAAC